UACGGAGGUGCAAACGUUGCUCGGAAUCAUUGGGCGUAAAGCGCGCGUAGGCGGCGAGGCAAGUUGGAUGUGAAGCCUGGGCUCAACCCAGGAUGUGCAUACAAAACUGCCUCGCUUGAAUCUCGGAGGGGUCAGGGAAUUCCGGUGUAGAGGUGAAAUCGUAGAUAUUAGGAAGAACACCAGUGGCGAAGGCGGCUCUGGCCGGUACGCU
rnacentral:rRNA from 1 species